GCUGGUGAGUGUUUUUGUUUGAAACCAAACUGAAAGGCAAUCCAUACGGGUUGGCAUACUGGGCUACCCAGUGCAUUAGAAAGUGACCUGACAUUAAUCUUUGAAGAGUUGUGAUAAAAAUGUUUGGGAAUUAGACCACAGCCAGUCCAAAAACCUGUGAUACUUUCAGAGUUAUAACAGAGGAGGCCAGAGAGCAGGAGUGAAAGUGAAACGAGUAGAAGAUGAAAUGGAAAAGUGAAAAGAUAACAAUGCAGCAGCAUGUGGUCCAACAAGUGGACGUCCCAAGGUGACUUUGACUUUAAGAUAUUGCCACUUGCCUGAGGCUUUCUUAGCAUUUUUCAUUAUGUGUUGAAUAGGAGAGAUGUCUGCCUGUGGUGAGUGAUGUGUUGAACUCUUAGCCUCUGCGGAGAGAUGGCUGCUCAACCGGACAUUCUGCAGCGGUGAAUUAAACACGACCCAUUUAGAAUUCAGCCCUCUUUAGAAGCGAGAAGUGGACAAUGCAGUCAGUAAAAAACUUGUUGCAGCGUUUCCAGGUCCACAGGGGGUGGGCGAGGGGAAAAACGACCGGUGUUGCAUUUUAAAAGGAGGAUCUCAACCCCUCUUUAUGAGAUUGAAAUUACCGCGCAGGAUGCAUCUGCUCUGCAGCAGGAGGAAUUCAACCAAAAGUGUUUUUGGAAGAGGGGAAACAUUCACCUGAAGCGCUCUGCCCGUUUAACGACAAGUGAGCAGUUCUUUUGUUUAACUUUCACGAUUGAUGGGUGACAGGAAAGCUUAAAGUAGAAUGUUAUAAAAAAUCCCUGAGAAGCAGGAGUGGAAAGAGAGUGAAGCAUGAGAGAGAUGAAACCUUUUUUUCUCCGACAGGAAAUCGUUUGCCUCACUUACCCUGUGGUUUCAUUAAUAAUUUGCAGAAACAUUGUCGAAGAGAAGGGGAACCAAUGCACCCAAUGUUGAAUUUAACAUUUAUUCAAGUCUAUAAGAAUUGAUGUAAAAUUGGUUGUAAAGUAAAAUCAAACUGACAAUGAACCCCUUAUUUGGUCAGUUUUGUUUGUUUAAACUCAAAUUGACAGUAUUACUGCAGUGUUUUCUUUUUAGUGUUUCUGAGGUAAAAUUCCAAUGUUCACUAAAUUACAUUUAUGUGCUUAUUAGACGAUUGAAAGUCAGCACUUUCAGUGAGCAGUGAGCUUUACGUCAAUGACUGAUGUUAAAAGCCACUAACCAACCAUGAAUCUAGGUGUAAUAGUAAUAAAUAAUUCGGACCUCAAAAUGAACAGCCACAACAAGACAGUUCCAAAAUCAGCCUAUCAUCUAAAAGAAUAUAAGGAAGGAUUAGAGGACUUGCGUCUCAACAUCAUUUGGAAAAGACUACUACUUUAACGGUGUGUCCACAAGUCAAUCAGAAAGCUACAGCUGAUAUAUAUUUUCGGGUUGAAUAUAGUUUUGACUCUUUGACAAUAAAAUAUAUAUUUUUUCAUUCUUCACUUAUAUUUAUUUUUUGAUAUUCACUGUUAUUUUUUUCGGUUGCAGAUUUUUUUCGGUUGCAGACAUUUUCCUGUUGGUGCUAGGUCAACAUUUCAGUGAUUGCUUAAGAAAUAUACAGCACUCCAAUGAAAUGAUCAUUUAUGUGGAUGUUUUGUGGAGACAUCUUUUCUCAGUACAAAUUGGAAGGUAUAAUAUGCAUCCAUCCAUCCAUCCAUCCAUCCAUCCAUCGUCAAACCGCUUAUCCUGCACACAGGGUCGCGGGGGGCUGGAGUCCAUCCCAGCCAACUUCGGGCGAUAGACAGGGUACAUCCUGGAUUGGUCGCCAGCAAAUUGCAGGGCUACACAGAGACAUACAACCAUUCACACAUCUACGGGCAAUUUAAAGUCCCCAAUUAACCUGAUCCCCAGAGCAUGUCUUUGGACUGUGGGAGAAAGCCGGAGAACCCGGAGAGAACCCACGCAGACACAGGGAGAACAUGCAGACUCCACACAGAAAGGCCACUGGGCGGAAUCGAACCCAGGACCUUCUUGCUGUGAGGCGACAGUGCUAACCACCACGCCACCGUGCCGCCCACAGGUAUAAUAUCAAUACUAACAAUUAUGAUAAAUAAAAAUAAGCACAAUCAUAAUAAUAACGUUGUCCAGCCCAGGAUUUUCUAAUUUUUUAGGAUAUUUGUUGAAUAAAAAUUAUUUUCAUAUGGAAAAGAAAACCGUGUGGACAAAGAUUGAUUAAUGCAGCAGUAGUAAUAAUGACAGCAUGUAGAUAAUGUAAAAAGGUAUAUUUGCAUAGGUUGUGUUGAUGGCAAAAAAUCUUAAAAUGUAGCACAAAACUGAUAGUGUUAACUAAAAGUAUCUAUUAAAGUGUCCAUUUGUUUUCCUCUUGCUCUUACCUACAAUAUGGAUGGUAACUUAAGUUGUAUUUAAACCUUCUUAAAUUGACAUUCAAGACUCAAAUUAUCUGUAAACAAAAACAUCACUGCCGCUCUUGUGAUCUAAUGUAUCUUUGUUGCGAUGCUGACCAAUUAUCAGAAGUAACUGAUGCAGAUGAUGAGGAUUUAACAGUCCAGUGCCAACCUUCUUUACACAGGGAGGCUGAAUGACGAGUUGUGCAACACUUGGAACACAAAUUCAGCUCAUUCAUACACAUUGCAUACUUGCACCCAUUGUGCACACUUGUGUCAUCCGAUGUAUCUUUCCUCAAAAACUGAGCAGAUCAUACCUACUGCCCGACUUCUCAGGUUGGUAACUUUAGGUAGUUGUCAUGAUGGACAGAGUGUUUCAUGUAACAACAAACGGUGAAUACGGUUCUGUUAGCUGUUGAAACCUGGAACUCACACUUUGCUUUAUGGCAGGGGGUCACUAAUGGGACCUAAUGCACCUUCACUAAACUUGUUCAGAGGCUCUUUUCAAGUUUGGGCGCCAGUGACGGUUGUUGACCGUCACUGGCGCCGUGUUUUCCGAGGCAGGUCUGUUGUGCAGGCAGCUCGUGUGCGUGUGGCGACCGUACAAUCCACCUCGACACCCCGCCAACAACGCCGUCCCCUCCGUCCGACGUGAGCUCCACGGUGGCGGAUUUCCACCUCGUCAUCAGCCAGCACACUUUGUCUCGAUUCCAGCAGCUGUAAAAACAACAAUGAAUCAGUACUGUGCGAUGCGUACGGACACAACACAGCGAUCAAUGCACCUGAAACAAGUCAGCAAAUAAACUCUGACCGUCUUUCUUCUCGCUCGACUCCGCGCUGAAUCCUUCGCAGCUUCCGCCCGCAAUGAGUGUUCCGCCUGAACCUGAAGCUCCUGCGUCCCCUCUCACAAUACGUCUCACAGGCGGCUGGAAAACAAUUAAAUGAGUGUGGUAUGAAUACAAAAAAAAUCGUAAGUCACAGUAACAUUUAACAAGGAAGGAGAAACAGUGUCACUUACACACAAUGACGUCGUCUAAAUCUGGACUUUUCCUGGAGCAAAUACGAGGUCACCGCCUCAUUAUGAGGCGAGAUUAGUCUGUGAAAACAAAAUGUACAGUUAUGAUCGUUAUCUAUACGUAUAUAUUCCCUUAUACCGCAGAAUGAAAGCAUAUUCUGUAAAUCUGACCCUUGCUCCGGUUCGUAGCGCCUGUAAUUCGUCUCGGAGUUGUGAAGACGGCGCACCGCUUCCUGUAAACGACACGGCAAAGAAAAUAGACUUUAAUAAAGCUGUUUCUGCUCACUUGUAAGGCUACUAGGCUACUCUUAGCUUAGCUUGAGGCUACGCUACUUUUAGCUUAGCUUGCAGUUAUCGAACGUAUUCUUACCGCUUUCUUGGGAUUGUGCGCCCGUCUCCUCUUCUUUGAGUCGGUUCCUCUCCUCCAUGGACAGAAACCUGGAGAUUCCCGAACGCGAACCGCUCGUUGAUAUCGGCAAUUUGUUGCUGGAGUUGACGAGACGAUCCACUGAGAGCUUUCAGCAGCUUCUUCUCGUCUGUCUGCGGACUGGCUGAAAGUUGGUGACCGCGGAGAGGAGUUGAACGCAAGACGUCGUCCAGCCAUUAUUCACGAAGCAGCAAAAACCAAACAAAGGAACUGGAGAUACAGUUCUUCUGAAUAUAGUAACACACGCGUGUCUGUUUGUGUGCUCGUCUUGCAAGUACUGCUGUCUGAGUCAUGUCUAUGACCUCACACGUGAUUGGACGAGGAGUCUAAGGGUCCUCCAAUCAGAUACGAGGUUAUUGUUAGACAGAAGGACCAGUAUUUUAGGAAGACAAAUGGUUGGGACUUUGAAACAGCUAAUAUGCUUUAUGUAAAGCAGUGUUUUGGUGUCAGCAGAACGACUUUCCCUAGAAAUCUGUACAGUGGUGCCUCUUUCUCCAUUCCACCAGACACUCUUGGAUGAGUCUGACAGACAUGCAAUGUUGACAAUGUAUCAUCACAUGUACCCUUGUGUCACUGAGGUUGAAGGUUUUGCCAUGACAUGUAAACGGGUAACAUAUAUGAAUGUAACUUACUCAAUCGAUAGAUGCAGAGCAUAAAGGUCAGCAUGUGUUCAUGCUAAGUGGUGUGGAAACACUAACAGUUUUGAGGAACCCGUCCUUGACCCUCUAGCAGAACUACGACCAGCCAUUAUAAAGCAGUUUAUAGUUGUUAAUGUGGUGUCAAAGGGUACGGCAUUUAAACAUGUUCUUGCACAAGUUUCCUGGCUUCAUCUCCACCCGGACAGACAUUUUUAUGGAAAGCCAAUAGAAGUUUGGGGCUUGCAGGGAACAGACACGUCAUACAGCAUCAUUUCUGCCAGUUGAGCGCAUUGCUAGAAGAUGUGUGGUUAAUACCUAUAUUUAAUAGGUUAAUAGUCUAUCUGAUGGUGGUUCUAUCUGAUGGUGGUUGCCCCUGCAGUGGUCCUGCUGUGCGCCUGGCUUACUACUCACAAUUACUUGAAUCAUUUCUGUCAUAGGAAUUGCAUGUAUUAUAUACUGUUCAUUCUGUACACAUGGCAUCCAUUGUAGUCUGUCCAUCCCGGGAGUGGGAUCCCUCCUCUGACGUUCUCCCUAAGGUUUCUUCCCUUUUUUCCCUCUUGUAAGGGUUUUUUCAUUUUUUGGGGAGUUUUUCCUGCGCCGAUGGUGGGUUUCGGGGCAGAGGAUGUUGUAUGUGUACAGACUGUAAAGCCCUCUGAGGCAAAUUUGUAAUUUGCGAUUAUGGGCUAUACAAAAUAAAAUGACUUGACUUGACUUAAUACAUCCUCUGUGCAUUUAAGUAGGACCAAAGAAAAGGUCAUUGUGGUCCUGCCACUAUGCACUGGAGUUGAGCUCUAGGAGACUGAUCUCUGCAGACCCCUCAUGCUGAUUCAAAUGUUGUGAAUUAUCUAAGGCAGUUAUUUGCAAUGACCUCCCCCUCCAGAUGGGAGGUUUAGGAGCCUGGGAGGGUCAUGUUACUCUGUAGGGAGUAUGAUGUGUGUAAGUAAAAGAAACAACACACCUAACUGCUCUGAAUACCAAAUAGCAUCUUGUGCUGCUGUCUUGUUUGGACACACCAGUAAAGUGCAGCUUUAUUCAGGAUGCACAAUGGAUCCAUGUCUCAGUGAAGAACUGGGAUCAACGGUCACUGACUGCUUUUACCCGUCUUGUUUUUCUACGACUGGCCAUGGGGCAGCAAGCAGCAGUCUUUGUAGUAGAGUAUCCUUAGGUCCCAGUUGGGUUAGGUUAUCUUCCAUUGGAGCUCUCCUUUCCAGAUGGUGAUGAAUUAUUUAUGUUUAGAAGAAAAAAAGCAACUAGUACUUUUAUUAUUUUUAUGCUAACGAGACAAACCCUGGUCAGAAGACCACAGCACCAUAACAAGGCUGCUGGGGGUUUAGAUCUGUCCUUAAGAAACAGGCAUCCAGUAUGAGGCAAUGUGUAAAUUCUUGCUCUUUAUUAAGGUUUAGAAUCUAGGGCAGAAAGUAAAUGGCUUUGGAGAGCUGAAGAGAAGUGACCAUUAUCCAGUCCCAUUUACUCCAGAGUUCAGGGCACAAUCACAUUCACACAAUCAAGUAUCAGCUUCCCUCCAUCUGGGGCCCAAACAAAGGAAACGCUGCAGUUCCUCAUCAAACUGAAUACGGAUUCCAUUUCCCUCAGGGAAAACAACACAAUGAAGAGCCAAGAGGGUUAAUGAUACUUUUGAAUAACUCUCCAUUUGGGCCAUUCGAGGUGGAAUUUUCUGAAUGAGUAAGUGAGAAAGAGCGAGAGGAACGUGCUCCGGGACAGUGAUCCCUUUCGAUUAUAAACAGGCACUGCUGCUUUAGCUUUUAAAAAUGAAUUAAGCUCAAGAACAAUCAGAAGGCAUUGUCAUGUAAAUGUGUGGGAUGUUUUGUUCUGUCAGGACACAUGUAAAAAUCUAAUGAAAGUGAACUCCAGGUUGUCUGUAUGUCAAAAGGUUUCCCAGCAACAGAUUCCCUUUAGAAAGUCUCAUUUUGCAUUCCUGGCUUCAUGUGGCUCCUGAUGGAUCGAGGCCUUCAAACUAGGACCAACACCUCUGCUCCUGUCUGGAGGAGGAAAGAAAACUUUCUAAUCAAUUUAUGGUUAUUUUUGUUGCUUCCACAUUUAGUUAACACAUUUUUUACCUAAGGAAUGAAUAUCUAGCCAGAUGGUUAGAUAUCCAUUCUUUUUCCAUCACCUCCCAGCUUGUUGUUACAAACACACACCUACAUAAUAUGUCUCUAACAGAUGCAACUGUUAGCAGCAUAAACUAUUCUCAUGUGUAUCCCCUAGUGACUAAUGAAUGGUAUGCAUGUCUCUGAUGCCAGCAACAGCGUGAUUUCACAAAAACAUGUAUUACUAUUGUACUAUCAACACAUUUUAUUAUGACUAAAAAGCAAGAUUGACAUGGUUCUUGUUCACAGAUUUAGGUAUUAUUACUUUUCUGCACUGGAUUGCUUUAUAUUUUUUAUUUCUGAAAUCCUUCUUUAAAGAUCACUUGGCUGAAAAGUAACCUUCUAUAAAAAAUUAUGAAUAAAAAUAACUAGCAUUUAGCUUCAUAUUUGUAUAGCCGAGCAUACUCUAAAUGUUAAAGCCACUUUACCUCCAAUUUUGUCUUCAGCACUAUAAAAGUCAUGUACCUCCCAUGGAAACAGCACAACCAUGGCAAGUAGUAGAGAAAACUCAGUCAUAAUGCCAUAAAAAAGAACACAAGCAGACACAAUUUAUAUAGAAAAUAAUAGGAUCAGUCGGCAAGUUCCACAAAUCUUCAGAAAUGUCUCUAGUUUACAAAUAAUUAUAACAAUAACAUGCCUUCCCCACAUACAAUGCCAUUCACAAAACCUACACACAUAAGAGUCCAAUAUGAGAUUAUGCUCCCUUGUACUAUACUUAACUUUGAUGACAUGGAAAAUUGAUCUGUGCCAGCUUGUGUUAUCGAUCACGCACACAAGAGGAAUUAUCAAUGCGAGAACCGUCACAUUUCAAGGUCCAUAGUCUAUGGACCACAGCAUUGCUGAUAUUAAAAAUAGGCUUCAAUUUAUACUGUUUAUCCAGCAGGAAUACGUUGGAUAAUUUACACCUACUUCGCUUUUUUAGGAAGGAUGUGGCGUUCUGACGAACCAGGCGAGGUCUGCCAACUAAAACCAGCUCGCCCGGUGGGUAAAGACCAUCUCACUGUUGAUGUGUUUGUGACACACCUUAUUUCACCCUUUCACAUUAUUUUAAGGUUACAAUAGGACAGCCAAUGCAUAUCAACUGAAUUAUUGGGGGCGAGGGCGCUAUUAGGCACAAACAAUGGCUGUCAGAGGCAGUCAAUUGACCCUUUGCUAAGCCCCCCUGACCCUGCUGCUACUCAUUCAAGGUAUCACAACAACCCACACUGUAUGAAUAAUAGGUUUAGUGCUUUCAGAGUGAAUUAGUUAAAAGCAUAUACAAUGUGUGCUUAAAUUUUACAUCCAGGCUGGAGGAACUGAAGCGUUUUUCCUACUCGUACUGCGCUAAGCAGCAACGGCUCUGAGCGUGCUGUACAUGCCAUGUACCGUAUUUCUGCGUUGAUGCUCAAUGCACUAUUCAUUGCCCUAUUCUCCAAAAUGCCAGACGACGAACAAAUAAAAUGAACUGAAAAUCACAAAGACAAAUGUAACAAGCAAAAAGCCAUUGGCCAAUAUCCACCUUGCCGAGGAGGAACUGUAAUUACUUUUUAACCCAUAUCUCGUAUUUAUGAACUACGUUAUGGUCUUUAUCCCUGUAGUUUCAGAGACCUUCAGCAAUUCUUUCCUUAAAAAACCUGUCGCAUGAAAUGCUAUUACACGUCUACACGCUAAUGCACUGCAAGCUGUUGAAGGCAUUUAAAUGCCGAUUCCAAAAUGGUAGCCGUUGCGAAGUAACUUAGUCAUUUCAGAAGGGACAUCAUUGAUGAAGCCACACCUGCCCUGAGGAGGACAUUAUCUCACCAGCAGUGUCAGCCAAUCUCAUUACUGAGUACAGCAAAGAGUGGCUUAACCAUACUCCUGGCCCCGGCUCACGUUCCUCAACACAGAAGAAGGAACAGUUGAUAGCUCCGUGGGGUUGUCCAUUGGCACUGUGCUGGUACACCUGCAAUUAGACACACAGCAGCCCAAACAUCAGCCUGUGAGUGCCUUCACUAGGAGCGUUCCCGCCUCCACACCCUUUUCUGUUCCUCCCUCAGAAGAAUAUCUGAGGCAGCAUGCCUGCUGGUGAGACACCAGGGCUCUGUCCUGUUUUGCGUCUGAAGGUCGAGUCCUGGCGGCCUUGCCCGUACGCCAGCCAAGUUUUCCCUGAGGAGACCCUGAGGCCUGAUGCUGGGUGCCCUCAUCCCCAAUGUCGGGUCAUUGACGAUCUUUAAUCUAAGGCUUAUGACGCACCAGCCCCCAUGGGCCGUACUGGGAACUCCCUUCCCCACCUCAUGCCUGCACUCUCGACUUCUCUGCAGCAGGCUGCUAUCAAAGCUUCCGCCACCGGCCUCAGUGACGCCUCACCGCAGGCGUUUGCCCUUGUGUCGAGGGUACUUGGACGUCAGAUAUCCACCCUGGUCCAGACUCGCCGUCAGGUUUGGCGGGGCAGACACCCCUGUCAGAGUCAUGUAGAAGGGUCCUCUGUAGUGGAACCUGGUGAGCUGCUCGGGUUAGAUGCUACACCGGCGCCUCAGCUAGACAGGUUGGGCACACACAACACUUUCAUCAUCAUUUUCUGUGACCGCUGUGAACUGCUAAACCCAGAACUGCUAAAGCUAAACCCAAUUAACAAUUGACAAUUAACUGCAUGCACACGGCUCUGAAAACCGAUUUGUGUUCUGGUGGAUGGCAGUUUACUAACAGCAAUAGUCAGAAAGGCAACAUUAGAACCUGAGGGGAAACCAAGGCUUUGGGCGUCAACAACAUCAGGGUGGCAGUGGUAUCCGCUAUAUGAACGCUGUGCAGUGUGGAGAAAGACAUUGCUUUCAUUCUUAUGACGGGUAUUUAACUACUCCGCUGAUGAUAUUCAAAAGUCAUUAAAAUUAACUAGUUUGCCUUUUGGUUUGUGUUAAGGUUUAAUGAAUUGGCAGGCCAUAUAUGAUGGGCUAUUUAUCUAAUACUUUUAUUUUCUGUGCUCCAUUUUGACCAUAAUUAUGUAUUAUGUUGUUGCAGAUUGCAGCUGUUGGGUGUAUUUUUGUGUUUGAAAGAAAAUAAUAGAGUAAAAGAGGAAGCUAGAGACCUUGCCUGGCUUUAAUUUUGUCCAAUUACUUGAUGUGGAGGAAGCACUGGAACAUGGAGAUCUUUCAGUUUAUUGAAAACCUUAUUUUGUACAGAAAGUUUCAAAAAGGUUUCCUGAACUUGAUGUGUCUUUGUCAUUUCUUGAAAUUAAGUUGGAGGAAAAAUAAUUUGCUCAAAUGUUAGAAGUGGUGAAAGUAAUACUUUACAAGGACGUAUUCCAAAUUACCUGGAUUUUUUGCACACGGUUUUAGUCAUACAAACUUUUCUGCACAUUCCUCACAAGUCAGAACAUUUGAGCAACAUUGCCUUGAAUCAUGUCUAGAGCUGUGACUUUGGGGGCUCACGACACACACUAGCCAUAUGUCUUGAUUCGUGGGCUGCCUCCUCAUGAGGACCCAGCCUUCGCGGUAGACCCUGGCUGGUUUCUCCAAUAAAUUUAAAUUAAAUCUGUUAAACCAUGUGCUUUCAGCUAAACAUUUUAACAUUGCAAUCUUAAGGCAGAGGAAAUCCAUCAAUACUGUAGACGAUGUUGAGCAUCUGUACUCCUCAGAAGCCUACACCAGGAUCCUAUUUUUGGAUUUUGGACAGUACAUUCAAUACAAUUAUGCAUGACAGGACCACCCGGGAAACUCUGGGGGUCAGCCCGGCGGGUGGCCAGACGAGCGGGGAGCCUCUGGGGGUCGGCCCGGCGGACGGUCACCAGGCCGGCUCCGGAGCGGCGACUGCACGGGGACACGGAAAACCUCCGCAGUCGGCGGCGGCGGCUCGGCGGCACGGAACACGUCCGCGGUCGGCGGCGGCGGCUCGGAACACGUCCGCGGUCGGCGGCGGCGGCUCGGAACACCUCCGCAGUCGGCGGCGGCACGGAACACCUCCGCGGUUGGCGGCGGCUCGGGGGCACGGAACACCUCCGCGGUUGUCGGCGUGAGGAUGCAGGAAGCCGGAGUUGCCAGCUGGAGGGAGCGGGAAGCCCCCGGAGUCGCUGUUGCAACCCCUGCCAUGACCCCCCCCUCAAGGGCCGGAUCCCAGACGGCCCUCAAAUCGGCAACGGGAGGGAGGGAGGGAACCUGAGUCGGGGAGCGGGGACCGGAGGCGUCAGAGUCAUGAGUCUCGUGGCUGGCACUGGCCGAGUCAAGGGCAUGGAUUGUGAGGCCGGUACUGGUCGGGGCGGGGGCAUGGAACGUGGGGCCGGUACCGGUCGGGGCGGGGGCAUGGAACGCGGGGCCGGUACCGGGGGCCGGGGGCAUGGAACGUAGCGCUGGCUCGGGGGCCGGGGGCAUGGAUAAUGGCGCUGGCUCGGGGGCAUGGAAAAUGGCGCUGGCUCAGGGGCAUGGAUCAUGGCGCUGACUUUGUUUUGACAUGGGACCUUCUUAAAAGGAAUCUUGAACGUAAUAGUUUAAAUAUGUACAGUCCUCUCUACAUGGCCUUCCAUAGAUUAUAAUUCCAUAGACCAUCAUUAGAAAUAUAUUUGUAACAAAAGACAACUUAAUCCUGCAGAAAAUAUGUAAUAAUACUUUAGGACUGCGAAGUUGGGAUACAUUUUCCAGUGGAAUCUAAAAUAUUGUACAUAUUGUAUUUGUUUACUUAUGUGCUGAUAAGAACAUUGAGAAUAACCGCAAAAACAAACUUGUGAUGACUGGCUUCUGUAAAUGGUGUCCUUGUAUAGCUUCCGAACACAAACGCUUUUACACUACAUGUCAUCAUUGACACCUAACUUUGAGUGUCUAAGCACUCGUUGACGUGGAAUUGGGGAUGGAACCAUAUUUCCUCAUUGAAGGAAGACCACGCUCUUGACUUGGCCAGUCGCCCAUUGACUCUCUAGUUUUCUUGUUGAAGUGUCCUUCUGCAUACUUGGGAUUCUAAUCUUAAAUUGCUCCAAUGCGCCUGACCUCCUAGGAAGCCAGGUCAUGUAACCAAUUUUGAAGGCAAAUAAUAUUCUUAAGCAUGCCAAUUAUUGCAUUAUGAAGCACCUCAGUAAAUGAGUGAGGAGGAAAGGCUGAAGGUUAUGGCACAGAAAGAAAAAAAAAAGCAAAUUCAUUAUGGAGGUAAAUAAUAAGAAACAGUUUCAUUAUCACUCCCUUGUUCUUUGAUGCAUUCACAGGGGAGCUUAUUAGUCUCAUUAUUAUGCAUACAUUACAAAUUCAGGCACCCCCACUGACUUUUAUUUAUAUCAUAAACAUCAUGUCAACUUUCCUGGAGAUGUGUGCACGUCUGAGGGUGGCAGCGCCUGUGGAGAAAAGCAGGCUAAUUGAUUGUCAUUGCAGCAUGUAACAUAUCUCAAGGUCUGCUGAACAGACAGCUCCUUAUUUAUUAGAGGGGUAAAAGUUUGGCAUCGAAAAGUUUCCUGUGACCCUUUCUGGCUGCAUGUUAGUUGAGCCACAGCUGUUUAUAUGAAGUGCAAUAACAUUUCCAUUAUAGAAAUGAAGGAAUGUGUGUUCAGAUAAGGGCUGCAGCCAUUCACAGUUCAUAAUUAUAUCUAUGAAACGUAAUGGGUUUAAAUUAUCCAUGUAAUUGUGAGCCAGGAGAGAUGAUAAAAAGUUUAAGUUAAAAAUAAAGUGCACCAGCGAACGGAAAGUGACUAUAUAUGUAUGUGCAUGUGGAGUAUGAAGAAAGUGACCGGUGGGAUGUCAGAGUCAGUCAGUGGGGGACUGGCUCUGUUGAUGAGCCCGACUGCAAACGGGAAGAAACUGUUGGUGUGGCGGGAGGUCUUAGCCCUGAUGGACCUCAGCCUCCUGCCAGAUGGAAGGGGUUGUCCGGGGUGAGAGGGGUCGGCUACCAUCUUUUUAGCUCGCUUCAGAGACCUGGACGGGAACAAGUCCUGCAGGGACGGAAGAUGCAGCCGAUCACCCUCUCUGCAGCAGGCAUGAAAAUCCCUCACCUUUCGGCGAAAUUUGCCGUUUUGAAACCAAAAUAGGUGCCCUACGUGAAGUGUAGAUUCGAUGAGGUGUUUUUUCGGGGGGUAUUCAUAUUCAGUGAACUGCUUAACAGGUGCGCGUGUCAGAAGGGAGCGCGAGAUUGCCCGCCUGAAGGACUCUCAGACCAUGAGAAACAAAAUUCUCUGGUCGGAUGAAACAACGAUUGAACUCUUGGCCUGAAUGCCAAGCGUCAUGUCUGAAGGAAACCAGGCACUGCUCAUCACCUGGCCAAUACCAUCCCUACAGUGAAGCAUGGUGGUGGCAGCAUCAUAAUUGUGGUGGAAGAUUUUGCACAGACAAUCGUUAAGUAAGAAACAAAGGCUCUGUAUCAAGUAUGUCUUUUCUCCGUUUAUUUCCUUGCAAGGGAAAAAGGGUCACAACAGCUACGUUGUCAGUAGACUGUCAAGAACCUCCUUUUCUUCCCAACACAUCGAGGCAGUUCUUAUACCUAAGUUUAGAUAUCGGUGGCGUCAACAGAAACCUUUGACCAUCUUGUUGAGUAUCUACAGUCAGGGUACUGGGAACAUCUUAUCCAUGUAAGACACAUCAGCUCUUUGACCGUGUCCUUGCUCUCCCAACAUGCUAAAACAAAGGUGGUCAUAGACAUAACAAACACUUUGUUCAAUCUCUACAGCUAUGACGCUGGAAACAUCUAAUCCAAGUGGGAGACAUCAGUUCUUAUGUCAGGGCCUUUGUGAUCUAACCACUUGCAACUAAUAAACUGGUUAUACAAAUGAAGCAUUUAAAAGGGUCACAUAUCAUUUUCCCAUUACAUUCUACUCUUUUCAACUAUGCAUUCAAUUUAGAAUGACUACUCUAAAAAUGUACCAUCUGAUAUUUACCUCAUCAAAUAUCACAAAACAUGAACAUCUGGACAUCGCUCACAAAACUUUGCCUGCCACAGAACAAAAACUCCCCAAAAAAACCUCAGAAAUGGGAAAAUAGAAAGAAAUCUGUUAGGAGAAGAUAAAGACUGGAAACCUUCUCACAGGAUUUGAGCGUUACACCCCAGAUGUCAUGUGUACAGUAUUGAAAUAAAAAAGAAAUGAAAACAUGUUUAAAUCACAAUACCAGAACUUGAUCCCCUUUCACACAAUACAGAUAUAGAAUAUUGUGGAAAGGUCAUUAUAUCAAUCAUAUUUACGUUACAUACUAAUAAAUGCAGGGAUAAAAGCUGUUUUUGUGAGAAUGUUAUUUCUCAUUCUUUUAGCAAGCUACUGUGAAACAAAAAACAUUUAGAACACCAGGAAUGCACACAGACAGUGUGUCACUACGUCACUAUGCGUAUGUGUCGAGUCCGAGUCACUGUUGGGGUUAACGUCAGAGUCGUUCCAUGAUAAGAGAGAACCACUCUUUAGGUAGCGGACUACGGAAUCACAAAAAGAUGCUGAGAUACAAUGAAACUGAAGCAAGCAAUAAUAUGAAUAAAACCGUAGUGACACAAACGACUACUGUGUCUAUGUGGAGGGGUCCUGGCCGUGUUCUUGUUCUUGUGUUGGUCCGCAGGUACACGUUGGGGUGUGGAGUCUGCCAACCUUCUUUCUUGUGAGGCAUCCGCGUUGUAGACAGUCAACACAGAUCACAAUGCACUGUGUGUCUGUCGGUCAACUGCCCGUCCGUGGUCACUGGAUCGGUGGUGUCGGUUGAUUGACACUUGUUGUGGAGGUAGGGUCGCCUGAGCCCACUGCUGGUACUGGAUCUGGAACCUUCUUGCAAUGGGAUGCUUGGACCCAAGUUGCCCUUUCAGCUACCUUGACCGCUGUUUGGGUGACCAGGAGAAUCUGGAAUGGACCCUGCCACCGUUUAGCUUUCCAACUUUUCCUCCUGAAGUCCUUCACCACCACGAAGUCACCUGGUUGCAGUCAGUGUAGUGGACCCGUUGCUUCUCUUGGAAGUGCAGCUACAACCUGUUUUCUUACAUCAGACAAAGUGGAAGACAGUCGAAUGCAAUAGGUUAACAUGUCAUUCUCGCACAUUGUGGUGGAAGGGAGUGGUGUUCCUGGAGCUUCCACACCUAUAUGGGGAGGAACUGCGAAAAGGAUUUCAAAUGGGCUUAGGUUGCUGCGUGUUCGUUUCCUCGGCACAACUCUGUGAAUGUCCUUGAGUGGCCCAGCCAGAGCCCCGACUUGAACCCCAUUGAACAUCUCUGGAGAGUCUGGAGAGUGUUAAAUAUUUAACAUUUAUUCAGUUUAACCUAAUAAGGACAUCUUAUUCAAACAAUUCAGUAUAUCAAUCAAUAUAUAUAUAAAAAAACAACCUAAAAUGUUAUUUCCAAGGAACAUUUUUAUGUCUGGCCAAAAUGUCUUAUUCAUGAUGCUAGUGGAGGCCUCGAAGUAUUCCCAUGCAGUGAUUUUCAAAAGACAAUAGUACAACCUAUUGGCAUAGGGAAAUGCAAAAGUUCAAAUUCAUAGUCAAAACGAAGGUGCUUUUGAGGGACUAAAUAUGCUCUAAUCUUUACUAAACUUGGAAAAUACAUUUACAGUUAAAGAUGUAGUUACCUCAUAUGAUUUUAAUGCUGACAAAUAGCAUUUUGGCUCGAUAGCACCCCAAAAAAGGUCUCUUGGGACUAUGCUCUAAAAUUAACAGGAAGUCAGUCAUUCUUUUUGUGUGAUAUUUCCUCUAUUUUUUGCACUUACUAGACGCUAUACUUUGACAAACUCCUCCCUGGGACUGGGACAGAACAAUCUCAUGGUUAUUAAAGGUUAAUAAAACCCUUUUGUUUUGUGUUAUGCUGUUGCCAUGGCAAAGGUGCUUUUGAAGAUCUACAUAUGCUCCAAUUUUACCAAGUUAAAGAUGUAGUUACUUGAAAUGAUUUAAAUUCUUAAUAAUGCC
ensembl:lncRNA